AGCUCCAAUAGCGUAUAUUUUCGUUGUUGCAGUUAAAAAGCUCGUAGUUGGAUUUGUGGUUGGAGUGGUGAGUCUGACACAGUACACUGUGUGAGUGCUUGACUAGUCCGUCCAUCUUUGGUUGGAAUCUUUGUGGCAUUAAGUUGUCGUGGAGGGGAGGACCAUCAUUUACUGUGAAAAAAUCAGAGUGUUCAAAGCAGGCUUAUGCCGUUGAAUAUAUUAGCAUGGAAUAAUGAGAUAGGACGUUGGUACUAUUUUGUUGGUUUGCGCACCAAGGUAAUGAUUAAUAGGGACAGUUGGGGGUAUUCGUAUUCCAUUGUCAGAGGUGAAAUUCUUGGAUUUGUGGAAGACGAACUACUGCGAAAGCAUUUACCAAGGAUGUUUUCAUUAAUCAAGAACG
rnacentral:rRNA from 1 species